UACGUAGGUGGCAAGCGUUAUCCGGAUUUACUGGGUGUAAAGGGCGUGUAGGCGGGGAGGCAAGUCAGAUGUGAAAACCACGGGCUCAACCUGUGGCCUGCAUUUGAAACUGUUUUUCUUGAGUGCUGGAGAGGCAAUCGGAAUUCCGUGUGUAGCGGUGAAAUGCGUAGAUAUACGGAGGAACACCGGUGGCGAAAGCGGCUCUCUGGCCUGUAACUGACACUGAGGCUCGAAAGCGUGGGGAGCAAACAGG
rnacentral:rRNA from 1 species